rnacentral:tRNA from 1 species
GGGCCCGUAGCUCAGCCAGGCAGAGCGGCGGGCUCCAGACCCGCAGGUCGGGGGUUCAAAUCCCUCCGGGCCCACCA